GGGGAAUAUUGGGCAAUGGGCGCAAGCCUGACCCAGCAACGCCGCGUGAAGGAAGAAGGCCCUCGGGUUGUAAACUUCUUUUAUUCGAGACGAAACAAAUGACGGUACCGAAUGAAUAAGCCACGGCUAACUACGUGCCAGCAGCCGCGGUAAUACGUAGGUGGCAAGCGUUAUCCGGAUUUACUGGGUGUAAAGGGCGUGUAGGCGGGACUGCAAGUCAGAUGUGAAAUUCCAGGGCUCAACUCUGGACCUGCAUUUGAAACUGUAGUUCUUGAGUGAUGGAGAGGCAGGCGGAAUUCCGAGUGUAGCGGUGAAAUGCGUAGAUAUUCGGAGGAACACCAGUGGCGAAGGCGGCCUGCUGGACAUUAACUGACGCUGAGGCGCGAAAGCGUGGGGAGCAAAC
rnacentral:rRNA from 1 species